GCCGGGCGUAGUGGCACGUGCCUGUAAUCCCAGCUACUCAGGAGGCUGAGGCAUGAGAAUUGCUAGAACCAGGGAGUCGGAGGUUGCAGUGAGCCGAGAUGGCGCCACUGCACUCCAGCCUGGCAACAGAGCGAGACUGUGUCUCAAAAAAAAAAAAACCCCAAAGAAACAAUAUUUUGCUCUGUUGCCGAGGCUGGAGUGCAGUGGUGGUGGUGCAAUCAUAACUUACUGCAGCCUUGACCUCCUGUCCUCAAGUGAUCAUCUUGCCUCA
rnacentral:sRNA from 1 species